UACCAGCACCCCGAGUGGUCGGGACGAUUAUUGGGCCUAAAGCAUCCGUAGCCGGUCAUGCAAGUCCUCCGUUAAAUCCAGCCGCUCAACGGUUGGGCCGCGGAGGAUACUACGUGGCUAGGAGGCGGGAGAGGCAAGCGGUACUCAGUGGGUAGGGGUAAAAUCCUUUGAUCCAUUGAAGACCACCAGUGGCGAAGGCGGCUUGCCAGAACGCGCUCGACGGUGAGGGAUGAAAGCUGGGGGAGCAAACCGG
rnacentral:rRNA from 1 species